rnacentral:rRNA from 1 species
UGGGGAAUUUUCCGCAAUGGGCGAAAGCCUGACGGAGCAAUACCGCGUGAGGGAGGAAGGCUCUUGGGUUGUAAACCUCAAAACUUAGGGAAGAAAAAAAUGACGGUACCUAAUGUAAGCAUCGGCUAACUCCGUGCCAGCAGCCGCGGUNAUACGGAGGAUGCAAGCGUUAUCCGGAAUCAUUGGGCGUAAAGAGUCCGUAGGUGGCACUUCAAGUCUGCUUUCAAAGACCGAAGCUCAACUUCGGAAAGGGAGUGGAAACUGAAGAGCUAGAGUAUAGUAGGGGUAGAGGGAAUUCCUAGUGUAGCGGUGAAAUGCGUAGAGAUUAGGAAGAACACCAGUGGCGAAGGCGCUCUACUGGGCAUAUACUGACACUGAGGGACGAAAGCUAGGGGAGCGAAAGGGAUUAGAUACCCCUGCAGU